rnacentral:misc_RNA from 1 species
GAAAUACAUGUAUAUAACGUGCCGCACGUGCAUCUCUUUCAGGUCAUAACGAGGCUUCCCCUGCAUGAAGGAUAACGCGUCAUGAGGGCUGGAGAGUUGUUGAUGGUGUCGGCCAUAUUCUCCCUCGAUCACACACGCAAAUCGGUCGGUGCCGUGGAAGAAGACAGAUGCCCAGCUGAGAAGUAUAUCGUUGCCACCGACACACCGCAGAACCUGACCUCGCCUGGCUUCCCUGGAAAUUAUGUCAGGCCAUCAGCGUGCAAGUGGUUCAUAGAAAGUGAUAUUCAAGAUGGCAUCAUCAAGUUCAAGGUCAUCAAGUUUGAGCUGGAAGGGUCACCGUCUUGUUACAGAGAUUAUCUGGACGUUAGAGACGGCCCGUGGCGUCUGAGUCCCCGACUGCUGGGGUGGUGCGGUGUAAAGCCCCCGGGGAAGACGUUUAAGACGUCGGGGAAGUCGGCUACGGUUCUUUUCCAAGCAGUGACUCGCGGCCAAGAUAAACCAGGCUUCCACAUCCAGUACUGGCAAGCCAAGAACGAUGUUCUCCCGGACGCCAAGGCGAAGUACACAGUGGCUAACUUCAUCCUCGGAGGGAUAUUUGGUGUUAUUCUGCUCGUCAUCUUGGUUACGCUUCUCUUUCUUGUCAUCAUUCGCAACUUACGAUACACACGAGAGCGGCAUUUACAGCACAUCAGAAUAUACUCAUAGCCAGAUCAGCACAUCAGAAUAUACUCGUAGCCAUAUCAACACAUCAGAAUAUACUCAUAGCCAGAUGGACAUAUCAUCUUUCAUCAUAACCAUAUCGUCUCAUCAGGAUAUACCAUUAGCCAGGUCGACACAUCAGAAUAUACUCGACCAGAUCGACAUAUCGGAUUUCGUCAUAACCAGUUCGACACAUCAGAGGACAUUGACAGAAUCUUGGAGCAUUCCAUUUACUCAUGAUUUAAAAACAUCCGGGUCUUCCGAACAUGAAGCUUCCACUGAUUGGUGCCUUCUGAUAAAUUGUAUAUGUAAUCUUGUUAUUUAUUAAAUAUCGUUGACUUCCUA